AUUAAGGUUAGCUCAUCAGUAUGGGGCCUGUGUCAAAUCCCAACUGUCCAUUGCCUGUGAUUCUGAACAUACUGGCUUUGGUAUUCUGCGCAAUGUCUAAGAUAUGCGAUAUUUAGGAAACCAGUUAAGUUGGAAGGAAGCAUGGGAGCCAGGUCCUGGUGUGUGGAACUGUAACAUGGAAACCAGAGGCCCAGUGAAUGGGAAGGGAGUGCAGCAAACAUCACAUGCUCAGAGCUGAGGGAUUCUUGGGUGGGAAGAUCGUGUCCUAACUCACACCUCCACGAGUGUUGUCGAGUCAUGCGUGAUCAUAUGGUUCUCAAAAACUUUACAUGUCUAUACUUGAAAAGAACAGUUCUCCUGCUCAAAGUAAGAUGAUCGGGGCAUCUUCUGUGGUUCUGCACUAGAAAAGUCCUGAAAGGGUUCUUUUGAAGACCUGACCUGGAGUUACACUCUGACUUUGGUUCUGAAAUGGGACCCAAUUUAGAGGUCUCACGACCAGCCGCUUUUCGGUAUGUCAGGGAUGAAGCCUGGAAGACUAGCAUGCCUUCAGGGUGCUGGAUUUUCGUGGCUCUGGAGGCGGGCGGACUCGAGGUCGGUGUCACCACCUGGUGCGUCAUGGGAGACGGAAGAUCAAAAGCAGAAAAUUGGUUGUGUUCCCAGAGAUCCGAGUUCAUUGGGCACGGAGCUCGGAAAGAAAGAUGCAACAGACUUUUAACACCAUAAAUCGGCGAGUUGUUUUGUUAUGUCUCCCCAUCGCUGUGAAAUGGGGACACCUCUUUUCCCUUAGUAGGGAGAGAGUGAGCCUGUGGUAUGUCGAAUUAUAGGGUGAACGAGUAGUCUUUGGAGUACUGCAGGUCUAUCUCGUUAUUGAUGCUUUGCUGCACGUCUGAGUGCUCGGGGGGGAGGUACCAAUGCUAUUUGCUGUUGGUUGGGGGUCAUGGCUUUG